GUCUACAGCCAUACCACCCUGAACAUGCCCGAUCUCAUCUGAUCUCAGAAGCUAAGCAGGGUCGGGCCUGGGUAGUACUUGGAUGGGAGAAGCUUUCUAGAUUUCUCUGCAGUCAGGAAACUGUAGCGG
rnacentral:rRNA from 1 species